GUGAGAGAGGCAAGGCAAGGUGUUCAGGGACAUAGCAGUAAGGUUUAGAAGUGUGUGGACCUUAACUGCUUAUUGUAGGGUCCCUGGGCUGGAAUUCAGUGUAGAAGGUGGGCCUGGGUUCCCUUACUAGCCUCUAGGAAAGUGGCACCAUCAAGAGCCACUGAAUGGGAAGACUGCCUGGGAUGUUGGGUCCUGAAAGAUUUUGAUACACACACCCCUGAAAGGCUAAAACUACAGAGACCUGGCUGGAAGGCCAAGCCAUGAAGUAGGAGCAGUCAAGUCCCAGGAGAGACAGAGUGACAGAAUUUCAGGAAGGAGUGUUGGCCUGGCAGAGCUAAUCCCCAGAUGCAGCCAGAAGGAGGCACCCUGGAUGUGAGUAGAAAGCCCCAUGACACUGUCACAAACCUUACCGUCUUCCAUUCCACGGUUUUGAUCCAUGGCAUGUUUUGCCUUUGACUCCAUGACCACUGAACUUCUUUAGGAGCCACUUGUGCAAGACUUUUCUGAAGUCAAAAUAAAUUGCCAGCUGUUUCUCCUUUA